GCUUGGGGGGCUUAGUCAGUUAAGCAUCUGACUUCGGCUCAGGUCAUGAUGUCAUGGCUGGUGGGUUCGAGCCCCAUAUCAGGCU
rnacentral:tRNA from 1 species